rnacentral:lncRNA from 1 species
CGGGCUGCGCGCACCCGCGCUGGCGCUCGGGCUGACGGACGGACUGACGGCCCCGCAGGCUGACGGCAGCGGGCGAGCCAUGAAGUUGUGGCUCCCGAGUUGUGUCGCAUCCCGUGGCGUUGCAGAACGGGGCCGAGCGUGGAGCAGCGGCACGGUAUCAGCAUGUGCAGCACUGGAGAUCAACACCGGCUUUAAUAAACCGUGUAAUGGAGGCGGUUCUGGAUCUCUCAAAGGUCUCAGAGGAUCUGCGGUAGGGAGCGUUGUCUGGUGGUGGAUGUGGACUUUAAAACAGUGUGUCUCAACAUCUCAUCCUCAACUAUCAAUUUUUAAUCUGAUUGCACUACAAAAGAAAAGCUGCUAAUGGGAUAAAUGUUGAGACUUUACAAGAACUGACUUGAAGUACCGAAAGCCAUUAUUAUUAAUCAGGAAGAGCUUGAAGCUAAGUCUGUGUCUAACCAGCCAGC